AAUUGUAUAUGUUGAAAAGGUUCAAGUUUGGGGUUGUAUAGGGAAAGUUGAAAGGCAAAAGAAAACCAUUGAGCUCAAAGGUUGUAAAAGAAAAAUGCAUGAGAAAAAGAAAGGAAAAGAAGAAAAGAAAAAUCAUGAAAAAUGAGCUCAAUGUAAAAAUAAAAAGGAAAAGGGAAAAAGUUGGGAAUGAGUGAGAUUGGUUCAAAAAGAGAGUGGUACUUGAACUUUGAAUGAUAAUUUAAACUCUCUUAACUCAAGGAUUUUGUAUUCUAGAAAAACCAAUUUUUCUUGAUAGCCCAGCCACAUUACAAGCCUUGGAAAAAUCCUUGUGAUGACAUUUGCAUGUAAGGAUUUUGAUUGUUUUAGAUUAUUGGAAAUAUUGUG
rnacentral:lncRNA from 1 species